rnacentral:rRNA from 1 species
GGGAGGUAGUGACAAUAAAUAACAAUAUGGGGCCUUUACGGGUCUCGUAAUUGGAAUGAGUACAAUUUAAAUCUCUUAACGAGGAACAAUUGGAGGGCAAGUCUGGUGCCAGCAGCCGCGGUAAUUCCAGCUCCAAUAGCGUAUAUUAAAGUUGUUGCAGUUAAAAAGCUCGUAGUUGAAUUUCGGGAUCUAUCCGUCGGUCGGGCCUCACGGUCCGCACUGGUGUGAUGGAUUCCUACCUUCUGAAUAACCGGUAUGCCAUUAAUUUGAUGUGCCGGGGAAGCAGAACCAUUACCUUGAAAAAUUAGAGUGCUCAAAGCGGGCCUAUGCCUGAAUACAUUAGCAUGGAAUAAUAAAAUAGGACGGCAUGGUUCUAUUUUGUUGGUUUCUAGGAUCACCGUAAUGAUUAAUAGGGAUAGUUGGG